GAUUAACGCUAGCGGCAGGCUAAUACAUGCAAGUCGAGGGGCAGCAGGGGUAGCAAUACUCGCUGGCGACCGGCGCACGGGUGCGUAACACGUAUGUAACCUUUCUUUAACUGGAGAAUAGCUUUGAGAAAUCAGAAUUAAUACUCCAUAACAUUGCGAAACGGCAUCGUUUUGCAAUUAAAGCUCCGGCGGUUAAAGGCGGGCAUGCGUCCCAUUAGCUAGUUGGCGAGGUAACGGCUCACCAAGGCUACGAUGGGUAGGGGUUCUAAGAGGAUUUACCCCCACACUGGCACUGAGAUACGGGCCAGACUCCUACGGGAGGCAGCAGUAAGGAAUAUUGGUCAAUGGGCGCAAGCCUGAACCAGCCAUGCCGCGUGUAGGAUGAAGGUCCUACGGAUUGUAAACUACUUUUGUACGGGAAAAAACCCCUUGUUUCUACGAGGGUUGAUGGUACUGUAAGAAUAAGGAUCGGCUAACUCCGUGCCAGCAGCCGCGGUAAUACGGAGGAUCCAAGCGUUAUCCGGAUUCACUGGGUUUAAAGGGUGCGUAGGCGGAAUGACAAGUCAGUGGUGAAAACCUAUAGCUUAACUAUAGAACUGCCAUUGAUACUGUUA
rnacentral:rRNA from 1 species